UGAGAGCAAACCGGUGUGGAAAGUGACACUGAACAACCCAUGUAUAUGCUUGCUCACUAACUUAAAGUUGUCAUGCACCGGUUUUGAAUCGGUCGUGCCUGUUGAUACGUUGAUAAAAACCGGUGACGUGUGUGUUCUCAACAAAGGUAUACAAGGAGACUUUGUUUUCAAAUAUGCAUGGGAUACUAGCUUCGACUUCAAGGUCAUUGAUGGCACGUUUUGCGCAUGAAAGCUUUCGAGUAAAUUCGAGCUUAAUUGAACUGAUGAUAUUUACUCAAAUAUGUUUAGAAUUUUGAUAUGAAUAAAAAAUAAUUUCCUUAAUAUUGAGUUUUAUUAGCUAUUUGGCACGAACUUGAUUUUGUUUUUAAUUAGAACAGUACAGUAUUCUUAAACCAUCAAGCAUGUAUUUUGCCGUAAGUGAGUUUAAUUAAUUUUUAGGGGCCAAAAUAGCUAAAGAUCCAAUGUCUCAGAUGUCUCUAAGAUAUGUAUGUCAAUGUUAAAGUCCCAAAUUUAAGUUGUCAUUGAUUCAAUUGUAGUUAAUUUUCCAUUCUAUAUUUGUAUUUCAAAGACUGUUGUUUUGACUUAAUUUAAUAUGAGUGAUAAAUUUUAUUGAGAAACAUAUAAAUUUUGUAGAAAAUUAAAAAUCAAUGGAAAGAAAUGUUUAUUUAAUUUUUAUUUUAAUACAUAAUAAAUAACCAAUUACAUCAUCAUAAAAUCUCUUAUUCUAUUACAUUUGAUGAUCAAUCUUCCAAAAAAUGUGAUAUUGAUGAACAAUUCCAUGCAUAAUGUUUCCACGAUGAAGCACUCUUCGAAACACUUACAUUAACGGAUGGUUCUACAUGUACGACAUCCUCGAUGAACAUGAUCUCUCCACAGCAGACGACCACAACGAAUAGUUCUGCCAAUAGUACUUUGAAACCUCAUUUAAACUUAACAUCUUAUAAUCUGUAAGAAAUUACAUUUUCUGGGAUUAGAACCUAAUAUAGUAUAACUUCUUUAAAUUAAUACUCUAUAAAUUAAUAUACACUAAAAAUCUCUAUAAAAUAAUAUAAUUUUAUAGUCCCAAAUCGAGUUUUUGGUUCUAUUAGUAUAUCAAUAAAUUAAUAUCUCUAUAAAUUAAUAAAAAAAUUAUAGUUUUGGUUUAGUCCUAACAUUAUUAAUUUAUAGAGGUUUCACUGUACCUAGAUGUAAAAGCUUUUUAUUAGUAUGUGUGAAAAUGCUAAAACAUCAAUAUUUAAAACGUCAAUAUUUACGGAUGGAGUACUAUUAUAAAAAAUAAAUAAAGUAGGUAGUAUUUAAUAUUAUUAUUUAGAUGCCUAAAAAAUAAAAUAAAAUAAUUGUUCAUUUUAAUACUGAUAAUAAUAAUAUAUCUCUAUGAAGUAUUAGAAAAUACUUUACCAACAUAGAAAUGAAAAACCUGUGAGAUAUUAAUUAUUUUAAAAGUAUAUGCAUGAAACAUAUAGUUUGACAAUAUUGUUUUUAAAUUUUAAAUUUAUUUUUAUAAGAGAAUCAUUAGUCAUGGUUUCUGAACAUUAUUUUAUUAAUGUCUUAAAGUAACUCAAUUAUGUAAUAAUUAAAAUUAUUUUAAAACUAGCUCUUCCACUUACAGAAUAACACGUGACAAGUUAGUUUCUUAACUUUUCAAUUAAAAUACCAUCAGCAACAAUCCAUUAUUGUUUUUUCUUACGUUUAUUUGAUUUAUCAAUACUAUUAAAAUGGAACGGGUUCCAAGAAAUCUACUUACAAAAAAUUGUUGUCCUUAUUAAUUAUAACUUCGAAUGUUUUAUAAUAUAUAUGCACUAAAUGUGUUAUUUGGCUUUACACUCCCUUAUUAUUUGCUAGACCAUCCCACAAAUAGUUCUUAUAUAAAUGCAUUUCAGCAUUUAUUAUCUUUACAUAUUGUUUUAUUACCACACGAUCUCAACAUCUAUUAGGCAUACAUAUUUUUAAAAAUCAAAAGUCAAAAUGAAAUGCCUUCAAAUAAUUAAACCAUUUCCGUAAUGUAUGUUUUUACUAUAUUAUCGAUAUACUGAUAUUGUAACCGUUAAGAAACUAUAUAUUAAAUUUUAUAUCACGCUUAGUAGUUAGUACUAUAUAUAAUAUGUACAUUCGUAGUUUUCUAUGAUUUAGAUUAUACUUCAACAUCCAAUAUUGCACUCAGUUUAUGUACGGGUUUUUAAAAACAUUCAUUACGGAAAUUAUUAUAUACUACUAAGAUUAAAUUAAACCAUUUUACUUAGUUUAAAAUAUUAUACCUGCCAAUACUGAAGAUAUAAAAUAAAAAUACAUAAACAAAAAUCUAAAACUAACUUUUUAAAAUCAAUUCCUUUUAAUAUCUGAACAAACAAUCGAACAAAAAUUUGAAAUUGCUUUAGUCAAAAAAAUAAACGGAAAUCGACAAUGCGAAUUUCGGUUCCCACAUUCACCACGAAAGUGACCUUCUCGUUAAUGACCAAGAAUCAUGAGCGUGAAUGACUCUAUGAACCUUACAAAGUAUAGAAUUAAAAUCUUGGGAAUUUUUGGAUGAAUAUAGAGAGAAAGUGAAAAAUAUGUAGUUUUGUGCAUAAGAAAUGAGAUAUCAAGAGUGGAAAUCGAUUUUUAGGUGCAUUAAGAGUUUCAAAUUGGUUGUUCAUGGUGGUUGGUAUAUUUAUGGAAUGUAAAUAUUGUAGAUAGUUGAUGAAGGUGAAGAUGAUAGAGUAAAACACUCAUAUUUAAAAAAAUUGGCAUUUUUGUAAAUAAUUCAAACUUUUAGAGUGAAUAAGACAAAUGAAAGUUCGAAAAAUCAUGAGUUAGUUUUGGGGUUUAGUUAAAGUUUUGAGUCAUAUUUAAAAAGACCCUUGUAUAUUUUAGGCGUUGGAUGAUAUUUUUUUAAAGAAUAGUCCUUUUGUAACAACUAAUCGGAAAGUUUUUUUAAACUGAUACUUUUUUUUUGAAAAGUUAAUAUAUUAGUUAGUUUGAAAAUUAAUUUAGAUAUGUUUUAUGGUUGUUUUAGUUGACAAAAGAUAAUAAAUGUUAAAAGUUAGGAUUAGGUAGUUCUCAAUGGCAUUGAAAUGUAACUAAAAAUUAUUUUAAAGGUAAGUUCAUAUUUGUACUUCAAUUUUCAUAGAAUAAAUGUAUUUUGUAAGUAAAUUAAGUUAAUUUUUUUUUUCUCAAAUAUCAAAUAUAUUAUGGUAAUAUUAAUUUGAGAUAAUUGGCUAAGGAAAUUGGGUAACUACCCCCAAACGCUGAAAAAUUCUUCGUACAUUGUAUACUUUUGGUCUCUCUUGACAGUAUUACCCCUGCCCAAACAUUCAUGCCUUUCUCUCUCUUUCCCCAAUCUCCAUAUGUAUUAUAUCUCUCUAUUUUUUUAUUUUUUCUUCUCAAAACACAUAUCUUUUCUCAAUCUUCAUUGAAGUUGAAAGUUUCUCCUCAAACCCACAAUCAAUUUUCUCUUCGAAUCUUUUAACAAUACACAAUUCCUACACUAAUCUCCUCAUCUUCAACUCAAUUCUUAGACACACCAAAAAAAAUCCUCCAAUUUAUAAAUCUCCCAUCAAUGAAUUAAGGAUUACAAUUGGUUGCAAGAAUCAAUAAUCUAGAGAGAAAAAAAAAACACAGUAGGAAACUCAAGCGUAUAUUGUUGUACGUUAACAAAUAAUAUUUAACGUUAUGUUUUAAAGUAAAAUAUAAUAAAAAUUGUUAGUGGAUAACUUCUUUAUUAGACACAUAUACUUAUCACGUAUCAAAAAUAAUUACUUCAAUCUUAUAUGUUAUUUUACCAUAUAAAAUAUAAUGUUAAGUGUAAUUUUUGGUUUAUAUAAGAUAUAAUCAUUGUUAACCUUAAAUAAUAAACAUAUAAUGAUGUAGUUAGUCCGAUAUCUUAUUUUGUUGCAUUUAACAAACCAUGUGGCAGCUAACGUUAUAUACAUUUAACAUCUUACCAGCCAUUUUAAAAGCGACAAAAUGUUUCAUAACAGCUAGCCAAAUAUGUAUUAGAUAAUGAACAUAUUUUGUAGAAAUUUACAAACCAUGUAUUAUAAUACAUCUAUUUUAAAGCAAAUGAGGCUUAACGUUAAAUUAUAACAUAAACGUUACAUGGUUUUGUAGCGGAUAAAUUUUUCAUCAGAAGUAUAACUUAUAAAGCACAACAUAAAUGACUUCAAUCCAUUAUGAUAUUUACAGAUAAACAUAAACUUGGAUGUAAUAUUGGUUUAUAUAUAAUAUAAUAAUUCUUAACGGUUAAGCAUAUAAAAUGGGUAACUACCCCCAAACGCUGAAAAAUUCUUCGUACAUUGUAUACUUUUGGUCUCUCUUGACAGUAUUACCCCUGCCCAAACAUUCAUGCCUUUCUCUCUCUUUCCCCAAUCUCCAUAUGUAUUAUAUCUCUCUAUUUUUUUAUUUUUUCUUCUCAAAACACAUAUCUUUUCUCAAUCUUCAUUGAAGUUGAAAGUUUCUCCUCAAACCCACAAUCAAUUUUCUCUUCGAAUCUUUUAACAAUACACAAUUCCUACACUAAUCUCCUCAUCUUCAACUCAAUUCUUAGACACACCAAAAAAAAUCCUCCAAUUUAUAAAUCUCCCAUCAAUGAAUUAAGGAUUACAAUUGGUUGCAAGAAUCAAUAAUCUAGAGAGAAAAAAAAAACACAGUAGGAAACUCAAGCGUAUAUUGUUGUACGUUAACAAAUAAUAUUUAACGUUAUGUUUUAAAGUAAAAUAUAAUAAAAAUUGUUAGUGGAUAACUUCUUUAUUAGACACAUAUACUUAUCACGUAUCAAAAAUAAUUACUUCAAUCUUAUAUGUUAUUUUACCAUAUAAAAUAUAAUGUUAAGUGUAAUUUUUGGUUUAUAUAAGAUAUAAUCAUUGUUAACCUUAAAUAAUAAACAUAUAAUGAUGUAGUUAGUCCGAUAUCUUAUUUUGUUGCAUUUAACAAACCAUGUGGCAGCUAACGUUAUAUACAUUUAACAUCUUACCAGCCAUUUUAAAAGCGACAAAAUGUUUCAUAACAGCUAGCCAAAUAUGUAUUAGAUAAUGAACAUAUUUUGUAGAAAUUUACAAACCAUGUAUUAUAAUACAUCUAUUUUAAAGCAAAUGAGGCUUAACGUUAAAUUAUAACAUAAACGUUACAUGGUUUUGUAGCGGAUAAAUUUUUCAUCAGAAGUAUAACUUAUAAAGCACAACAUAAAUGACUUCAAUCCAUUAUGAUAUUUACAGAUAAACAUAAACUUGGAUGUAAUAUUGGUUUAUAUAUAAUAUAAUAAUUCUUAACGGUUAAGCAUAUAAAAUUUGAAUAGACAAUGGUAAAGUUAGCAUGCUAACCUUUUUGGUAUCAUCUACCAAACCACAUAUCAGCUAUCGAUGUUAUUUUUAGCAUCUUAGCAGCUAUUAGUUAAAUCGAAAAUAUAUUUUGUAACAUCUAACCAAACAAGUAUCAGAUAAAUGAAACAUAUUCUAUAGAAAUUUAUAGCCAUGUAUCAUAUAACCAUAACUAAUUUGAAACAAAGAAAUUUAAUGUAAAGCUUUAACAACUAACCAAACUUGUAUAUGCUCACGAGACUUAUUUGGUAACAUCUAAUCAAACAUUUACUAGUUAACAGAAAUCUUGUUCUUGUUAUACAGCCAUGUUCCUUUACCAGCAUGUGAGUCGAAGAGAUCUCCCUUUUAUGCGCCAUAAAAUUGCUUAAAACGUUUAUAUCAUAGUGGAUCUCAAACAAAUCGACAAAGAAGCUCUGGUAGACGAACUCAUCGAGAGGAUAAUACUCUUUGGAUCUAGACAAUGUGUUGAAAGAAAUACACUAAAAUGAAAAGGUAUUCACAUCGAUGAAAACAGAAAAGAAAUGAAGAAUCCAUUGUAGAAAUGAAAAAAAUGAAUUUAAAGAUUUUAAAGAGAUAUAAGAGAGAGAAAGAGAAGAAGAUUAAUUAUUUGGACAAGAGAUUUUGUAGAAGAGACACGGGAGAGAAAGGGAGAGAGACAGAAGGAUUUUGGUCAGGGUUAGUUUUGGGGUUUAAAAAUAUCAAUAGUGUAUGUGACCUAAUUACUCUAUUAAUUUUGCACAUACAGUAAGGUCAUCAUCUCAUUAUCAAUAUCUACUCUUUUUUUUUUUUGUAACACCAUCAGUAUCUACUUUUUAUUCUUUUUUUCCAUUUUCUGUAUAUUUUAGGUUUUUGAUAGUUACGCGAACUUUUUUUUAAAGAUCAAUAUUAAUUACUAUUUAACUAUAAAAAAUAAUAUUUAUCACAAAAGAAAUCUCCAAUCUCUCUUAAUGUAAUGUAUAAGUUUUUAUAUAGAAAUUCAAAAAAUAACAAUAAAGUUUUUAAAAUAUUUAAAAUAAAAAUCUUAAUUUUUAAAAUAAAUUAUAAGAUAUCUUCAUCGCUAACAAUGACGAUUUCUAACAUAUCAAUGUUAAUUGUAACGGUUUCAUACAUAUCUUUGAUAACAAUGAUGAUUUCAGACAUAUCUCCUCCAGUGAGGGUGAUGAUUUUUUACAUAUCACUGUUGACAAUAAUAACUUUUUUUUUUUGAAACUGGACAAUAAUAAUUUUUGUUGAAGAUUAUUUAUAUAUUAUUAUUAUUGACCAAGAUUUUUUCUUUAUAACCAUUAACAACUGUAUUGACAUAUCUAUGAUGAAAAUUUUCGACAUAUCAUGGUUGCAAUGACAGUAGGUAUGUUGAUAACAAUGUAUUUAACAAUUGUCCUUGGUAACGAUGAUAUGUCAAUUUUUCAAACAAAAAAUCUUUUUUUUUUUUCAAAACUAUUUGUAAUUUAUAAUUUUAAUUUCCUAAUUUUGUGAAAUUUUCUGAAUUUUUUUUUAAUUUUCUGUCUUUCUAUUUAUUUAUUAAUUAAAUAAUUAUCUGUUAUAAAAAAUGAAACAUCAUCGUUUUUGCAAGUGCUGGUCCGUUCUUUUACGUGAUGAACAAGUAGGCUAGAAUGGAGUUUAAAAAAAAAUAUAAAUGCAAUUUUGAUGGUUAAAAAUGUUAGUAAAAACCUUGAAGGUUUUUUUACAACGAACGGCUAUUCUAUUAAUCAAACUUGAUGUGGUCUGAAUAACUAGACCGAAAUAGAACAAUCAAUAAAACAAAGCUCUCUAUAGAAAGACCUCGCAGUUCUAGCUAAAAAGUCGGAAAUCUGAUUUUGCGCUCGUAAAAUAGGAGUGAUAUUAAGGUUUAAAGUGUUAACAAGUGUCACUUUGAUGGUUUUUAUGCUAUUUCCCUUUAAUUAAUUUGCAUGCAUGAAGUUUAUGAAGUCUGAAAGAAAAAAAAUACAAAUAAAUUAGCCUUGACCCAGUAAUUUGAAAUUACCUGAAAGAAAAUAAUUGAAUAAUCUCUUUCGUAAUUUUGAUAAACAAAUGGUUAGAGUUGACCCUAUGCAUGAAUUCUUCUACCUUCUGACUCUAUGCAUGAGCUUUUACCUUCUGACAAAAGAAACAUUUAAUUUUGGUCAACAUCUUUAUUAAUACCAAAACGUUUUUUGCCAUUAAAAAUAAACCCAAUGCCUCAAUAUAAAUACUCAGUAACACAACUCAACAGCUGCAAACUCAUUUCAUACUCACUACAAUUUCCUAACUUUGUUUGAUAAAAAUUCUAAAGACCAGACCCAGAUAUGGCUUGCAAACUUCUUUGCCUCCUCGUCGUCUUCGCCAUCAUCACCUUCGUUACCCACGGUAUUUAUAUUUUGUAUACGUAAUAUAAUAAAGACUUUUAUGUGUGUUUUUGUUUACAAUAGUAUAAUAUAAUAUUUUCGUUGGAAAAUUUGGAAGGGUCUGGACCACAUUGUGGACUUAAUGACGUAACUCUGAGACAAUCGAAGUCCGGAAUGGUUGAGAGCAAACCGGUGUGGAAAGUGACACUGAACAACCCCUGUAUAUGCUUGCUCACUAACUUAAAGUUGUCAUGCACCGGUUUUGAAUCGGUCGUGCCUGUUGAUACGUUGAUAAAAACCGGUGACGUGUGUGUUCUCAACAAAGGUAUACAAGGAGACUUCGUUUUCAAAUAUGCAUGGGAUACUAGCUUCGACUUCAAGGUCAUUGAUGGCACGUUUUGCGCAUGAAAGCUUUCGAGUAAAUUUGAGCUUAAUUGAACU
rnacentral:lncRNA from 1 species